AUGUCUUCCUCCACCUCCUCCUCCCAGCCAACCCUCAGCGGAGGAGUCACGGAGAAACUCUCCCACACCAACUACAUCCCGUGGCGAACCCAGAUCACGCCACAGCUGCGGGGCGCCGGCGUCUACCACUACGUCGACGGCACAUCGACCGAGCCGGCCAAAACCCACGUCACCAAAGAUGCCGCUGGGAAAGAAACUACGGAGCCGAACCCUCUUCAUCCGCUCUAG
rnacentral:rRNA from 1 species